rnacentral:rRNA from 1 species
GCAGUCGACGCAGUAGCAAUACUGAGUGGCGAACGGGUGAGUAUAAUGUAGGUAUCUGCCUUUUGGUUUGGAAUAACACGAGGAAACUUGUGCUAAUACCGGAUAAGCCUUCACAGGGAAAGUUUUAACGCCAAAAGAUGAGCCUGCACUUGAUUAGCUAGUUGGUAAGGUAAUGGCUUACCAAGGCUACGAUCAAUAGCUGUUCUUAGAGGAAGAUCAGCCACAUUGGGACUGAGACACGGCCCAAACUCCUACGGGAGGCAGCAGUGGGGAAUCUUGCACAAUGGGGGAAACCCUGAUGCAGCGAUGCCGCGUGAGUGAAGAAGGCCCUUGGGUUGUAAAGCUCUUUCGUCGGGGAAGAUAAUGACUGUACCCGAAUAAGAAGGUCCGGCUAACUUCGUGCCAGCAGCCGCGGUAAUACGAAGGGACCUAGCGUAGUUCGGAAUUACUGGGCUUAAAGAGCACGUAGGUGGUUAAGAAAGUUGGUGGUGAAAUCCCAAGGCUUAACCUUGGAACUGCCACCAAAACUUUUUAACUAGAGUAUGAUUGAGGUAAGCGGAAUUUCUAGUGUAGAGGUGAAAUUCGUAGAUAUUAGAAAGAACACCAAUUGCGAAGGCAGCUUUCUGGAUCAUUACUGACACUGAGGUGCGAAAGCAUGGGUAGCGAAGAGGAUUAGAUACCCUCGUAGUCCAUGCCGUAAACGAUGUGUGCUA